UACGGAGGAUGCGAGCGUUAUCCGGAUUUAUUGGGUUUAAAGGGUGCGUAGGCGGCCGAGUAAGUCAGCGGUGAAAUUUUGCAGCUUAACUGUAACAGUGCCGUUGAUACUGCAUGGCUAGGAUUUGGUUGCUGUGGGUGGAAUGUGUGGUGUAGCGGUGAAAUGCUUAGAUAUUACACAGAACACCGAUUGCGAAGGCAGCUUACUAAUCCAUCAUUGACGCUGAGGCACGAGAGCGUGGGGAUCAAACAGGA
rnacentral:rRNA from 1 species